rnacentral:rRNA from 1 species
UACGUAGGGGGCGAGCGUUGUCCGGAUUUAUUGGGCGUAAAGAGCUCGUAGGUGGCUUGUCACGUCGGGUGUGAAAGCUUGGGGCUUAACUCCAGGUCUGCAUUCGAUACGGGCUGGCUAGAGGUAGGUAGGGGAGAACGGAAUUCCUGGUGUAGCGGUGAAAUGCGCAGAUAUCAGGAGGAACACCGGUGGCGAAGGCGGUUCUCUGGGCCUUACCUGACGCUGAGGAGCGAAAGCGUGGGGAGCGAACAGG